ensembl:lncRNA CT69 cancer/testis associated transcript 69
AUCACCCAACCAUGGGACCACUGGUUGACCUGAGAAGCUACGUAUUGACACGGCGCUACCACGGGUGGAGGAGCCUGCAUUGCUGAAUCACAGGAUGAAGGCGAAUCCCUGCCAGCCUCCAUCCAUCUCUGGGGUGCUUAGCAGAAUCCUCAGCUCACAAGAUGAAUAAAUGCAGACUAAAUGAUGCACAAAUAAUCUUCACACACAACCAUCAACACAUGGAAAGACUGCAGGACGGCCAGAUCCCAAGCUAACAAACAGGGGAAGAUGAUGUUUCAAAUGAUCAUCUGAAUGCUGGGUUUCCACCUUCCACCAGGAAGUCAUAUGGUCAAAUUAUCCCGGAUCCUGAAAUAUAUCUUUUGAUAGAAAUGACUCUGGUACUUUCCGCAACUUACUUUCUAUGGAGCACUUUCCUGAAACAAGAUUUGUGUUUAAAUAUUCCUCCUUCUACAAAGUAUUAAACAGUAGUAAGUUCUGCAACGUUGACAAUGGAAACCUGGCAAUGUGCCCUUGUUUGACUAUUAAGGAAUUGCUUCCAAGUACCACAGGGCCUUGAAGACCAAAAUAACACAAUUACCUGGAAGGUGAACAAUGGCAACUUAUCAGGCUAAUAUUUAUGCUAACAAUUGUCACAACCAUAAUGGAGGAAAAAAAUAUUUUAAGGACAAGAAUGUCACUUGAGAAUAAGUGAACACCCCCUGUGACCUGGCAUUUCUUGGAAGAAAGGAAGGUGCUGUGACAUGCCCCUGUCAUUCUGAGGUCCUCUGGAAAGGGCUGUCGUUCACAGUUGCCUGGGCAAGGCUGAGCAGGACGCACGUUUGGUGACUCAAAACAUGCCGUUAAGAGUAACUAGGGUGGAACGAUGCAUAGCCACCAUUUCAAUUAUGUUGGGCUAUCAAAACUUUCUUAGGCAAAAGAUUAAACAUGUUUUUCACCAAUUGUAA